GACGAACGCUGGCGGCGUGCUUAACACAUGCAAGUCGAACGGAAAGGCCUGCUUUCCCUUGUGGAUUGCGGGUACUCGAGUGGCGAACGGGUGAGUAACACGUGAGUGAUCUGCCCCCAACUUGGGUAUAAGCCUGGGAAACUGGGUCUAAUUCCCGAUAGGACUGCAGGGUGGUGCCUGUGGUGGAAAACGAUUUUCUAGUGGUUGGGGAUGAGCUCGCGGCCUAUCAGCUUGUUGGUGGGGUAAUGGCCUACCAAGGCGGCGACGGGUAGCCGGCCUGAGAGGGUGGACGGCGACAUUGAGACUGGGAUACGGCCCAGACGCCAACGGGAGGCAGCAGUGGGGAAUAUUGCGCAAUGGGCGGAAGCCUGAUGCAGCGACGCCGCGUGGGGGAUGACGGCCUUCGGGUUGUAAACUCCUUUCGACCGCGAGGAAGCCACCUGGUUGGAAGGGUGGUGACGGUAGUGGUAGAAGAAGCACCGGCUAACUACGUG
rnacentral:rRNA from 1 species